rnacentral:rRNA from 1 species
UAUUAGUCAAUGCUCGCAAGAGUGAACUAGCUAACUGAAAUUAUAAUUAUCCGGAAGUUUCGGAAGAUGAUGUAAUAACGUAAGGGGAAAAUAAUGAUAUGCCCUAUUACUAUUAGUGCUGUCCAAAACUGGUGCCAGAAGACUCGGUAAGGCCAGAAGCGCAAACGUUAAUCGUAAUAAACAGGCGUAAAGGGUGUGUAGGCUGCUUUUUAAAACCUUUCUAUUUAAAAUAACUACUGUCACAUAAAAAUGCAGAUUAGAAAGAAAGGUAACUAGAAGCUAGAAUCUUAAGGAGGUCUAUCAGAAUAAUACUUAGUGUAGGGAUCGAAUCUUUAAAUAUUAAGGGGAAUACUAAAAGGUGUAAGCAUUUUUCCUAUAAUGAUUGACGCUGAGACACGAAGGUGGGGAAAGGAAAUAGGAUUAGAUACCCAAACUACCCCUCACAGUCAACGAUGAAUGGUAAAUAGUUAAUUUAUAAAAUUAGCAUUGAUGUUAACGCGAUAACCAUUCCGCCUUGCGAGUACGGUUGCAAAACUGAAACCAAAAAAAU